rnacentral:rRNA from 1 species
CCUACGGGGGGCAGCAGUGGGGAAUAUUGCACAAUGGGGGAAACCCUGAUGCAGCAACGCCGCGUGAGCGAAGAAGGCCUUCGGGUCGUAAAGCUCUGUCCUAAGGGAAGAAGCAUGACGGUACCUUAGGAGGAAGCCCCGGCUAACUACGUGCCAGCAUCGGCGGUAAUACGUAGGGGGCUAGCGUUAUCCGGAAUUACUGGGCGUAAAGGGUGCGUAGGCGGCCCUUCAAGUCAGUGGGUAAAGGAUACGGCUCACCCGGAGUAAGCGUUUGAAACUGUAGGGCUUGAGUGCUGUAGAGGAGAGUGGACUUUGCAGUGUAGCGGUGAAAUCCGUAGAUAUUGGGAGGAACACCAGUUGCGAAGGCGGCUCUCUUGACUGUAACUGACGCUAAGGCACGACAGCGUGGGGAGCUAACAGGAUUAGAUACCCCAGUAGUC